GCCGGGUGUGGUGGCGCGUGCCUGUAAUUCCAGCUACUUAGGAGGCUGAGACAGAAGAAUUGCUUGAACCCAGGAGGCGGGGGUUGCAGUGAGCGGAGAUCGUGCCACUGCACUCCAGCCUGGGCGACAGAGCAAGACUCUGUCUCGA
rnacentral:SRP_RNA from 2 species